rnacentral:rRNA from 1 species
UACGAAGGGGGCUAGCGUUGCUCGGAAUCACUGGGCGUAAAGCGCACGUAGGCGGAUUGUUAAGUCAGGGGUGAAAUCCUGGAGCUCAACUCCAGAACUGCCUUUGAUACUGGCGAUCUUGAGUCCGGGAGAGGUGAGUGGAACUGCGAGUGUAGAGGUGAAAUUCGUAGAUAUUCGCAAGAACACCAGUGGCGAAGGCGGCUCACUGGCCCGGUACUGACGCUGAGGAGCGAAAGCCAGGGGAGCAAACGGG